GGGCGGUUAGCUCAGCCGGUUAGAGCGCCUGCCUUACAAGCAGGAGGUCGCAGGUUCGAUCCCUGCACCGCCCA
rnacentral:tRNA from 1 species